rnacentral:rRNA from 1 species
UACGUAGGGGGCGAGCGUUGUUCGGAUUCAUUGGGCGUAAAGGGUGCGUAGGUGGCGCCGUUAGUCAGGUGUGAAAUUUCGGAGCUUAACUCCGAAACUGCAUUUGAUACUGCGGUGCUCGAGGACUGGAGAGGAGACUGGAAUUUACGGUGUAGCAGUGAAAUGCGUAGAGAUCGUAAGGAAGACCAGUGGCGAAGGCGGGUCUCUGGACAGUUCCUGACACUGAGGCAUGAAGGCCAGGGGAGCAAACGGG